rnacentral:rRNA from 1 species
UGGGGAAUUUUGCGCAAUGGGGGAAACCCUGACGCAGCAACGCCGCGUGGAGGAUGAAAUCCCUUGGGAUGUAAACUCCUUUCGAUAGGGAAGAUAAUGACGGUACCUAUAGAAGAAGCCCCGGCUAACUUCGUGCCAGCAGCCGCGGUAAUACGAGGGGGGCAAGCGUUGUUCGGAAUUAUUGGGCGUAAAGGGUGCGUAGGCGGUUUGACAAGUCUUAUGUGAAAUCUAUGGGCUCAACCCAUAGUCUGCAUGGGAAACUGUCGGGCUUGAGUAUGGGAGAGGUGAGUGGAAUUUCCGGUGUAGCGGUGAAAUGCGUAGAUAUCGGAAGGAACACCUGUGGCGAAAGCGGCUCACUGGACCAUAACUGACGCUGAUGCACGAAAGCUAGGGGAGCAAACAGG